UUUAAGAAACCAAGAAAUACAGAAGACUAAGCAAACAAGGAAAGCAUCCAAACGCAGAGGCUUCCUCAACAGACGCAGGUGGUGAGCAAGUGGGCAGUUUUUGCAAUCAAAUUAGGUAAAUUGGUAACAAAAAUGGAAGAACCUUUUAUAGAAUCAACCCAUGAGGAUAAGGUGGUGGUGGUGGUGGAAGAAGAAGAAGGGAAGGGAGAGAAUGGUGACAGCAAUUCAACUUUGGAACCAAGCUCAUCUUCUCUUGCGGAGUUGAAUCUUAUUCUAAUCCUUUCAUUUCUCUCAUUAUCCACGGAGGAAUGCCUAAGUUUUCAAGAAAUACACGAGCACGAAAGUGAUCAUGAAGUGAAGGACACUUUGUCGAGAGUGAAGACUCGAAAACGAGAAUUAAAUAAAUACAAAGUUGUGGAUCAACGGGCGUCGAGAGUUCAACAAACAAAGAUUAGAGAUUGCAGGCACUGCAGAAGAAUGUGAAUAAAAGAAGUCAUCCAAGAAGCAGAAGCAAUGUCCCCUGCUGCGACUGCCAAUUUUGAAGAAAGCGAACACAAAUACAUUAUAAUAUACAACUUUUUGAUCUCUUUAUACUAAAAACAGAAUGGGUAUUAUAUAUUAUUAAACUACCCUUUUUAAACCACUGGCCAUCCUUAUAUUUUUGUAUGCUUAAUCACCCUGAAUUAACAAGAGUUAGUGUACAACCAGUUUUCCUUUCAUUCA